AUUGAACGCUGGCGGCAGGCCUAACACAUGCACGUCGAGCGAGCGGCGGACGGGUGAGUAAUGUAUGGGGACUGCCCGAUAGAGGGGGAUAACUACUGGAAACGGUAGCUAAUACCGCAUACUAUCGGAUAACCCAUAUGGGAUUAGCUAGUAGGGGAGGUAAUGGCUCACCUAGUCGACGAUCCCUAGCUGGUCUGAGAGGAUGAUCAGCCACAGUGGGGGUAGAGUACGGACCAGACUCGUACGGGGGCAGCAGUGGGGAAUAUUGCAAAAGGGGUGCAAGCCGGAGGCAGCGAUGCCGCGUGUAUGAAGAAGGCCGUAGGGUUGUAAAGGACUUUCAGUCGGGAUGCGUUACCGACAGAAGAAGCACCGGCUAACGCUGUGACAGCCGCCGCGGUAAUUC
rnacentral:rRNA from 1 species